GGAAUAUUGCACAAUGGGCGCAAGCCUUAUGCAGCCAUGCCGCGUGUAUGAAGAAGGCCUUAGGGUUGUAAAGUACUUUCAGCUGGGAGGAAGGCGAUAAGGUUAAUAACCUUGUCGAUUGACGUUACCCGCAGAAGAAGCACCGGCUAACUCCGUGCCAGCAGCCGCGGUAAUACGGAGGGUGCAAGCGUUAAUCGGAAUUACUGGGCGGAAAGCGCACGCAGGCGGUCUGUCAAGUCGGAUGUGAAAUCCCCGGGCUCAACCUGGGAACUGCAUUCGAAACUGGCAGGCUAGAGUCUUGUAGAGGGGGGUAGAAUUCCAGGUGUAGCGGUGAAAUGCGUAGAGAUCUGGAGGAAUACCGGUGGCGAAGGCGGCCCCCUGGACAAAGACUGACGCUCAGGUGCGAAAGCGUGGGGAGCAAACAGGA
rnacentral:misc_RNA from 1 species